rnacentral:rRNA from 1 species
CAGCCGCCACGGGAAUACGUAGGUGGCAAGCGUUGUCCGAAAUUAUUGGGCGUAAAGCGCGCGCAGGUGGUUUAAUAAGUCUGAUGUGAAAGCCCACGGCUCAACCGUGGAGGGUCAUUGGAAACUGUUAAACUUGAGUGCAGGAGAGAAAAGUGGAAUUCCUAGUGUAGCGGUGAAAUGCGUAGAGAUUAGGAGGAACACCAGUGGCGAAGGCGGCUUUUUGGCCUGUAACUGACACUGAGGCGCGAAAGCGUGGGGAGCAAACAGGAUUAGAUACCCCAGUAGUCCCUGUCUCUUAUAA